UACGUAGGAGGCGAGCGUUGUCCGGAGUUACUGGGCGUAAAGGGUGCGCAGGCGGCCGCGCGCGUGGGUGGUGAAAUCUCCCGGCUUAACUGGGAGGGUGCAGCGGAAACUAGAAUGCUAGAGGGUGGGAGAGGUAAGCGGAAUUCCUGGUGUAGCGGUGAAAUGCGUAGAUAUCAGGAGGAACACCUGUGGUGUAGACAGCUUACUGGACCACUUCUGACGCUGAGACACGAAAGCGUGGGUAGCAAACAGG
rnacentral:rRNA from 1 species